rnacentral:tRNA from 1 species
GGGAAGGUAGCUCAGCCGUAGAGUGCUUGCCUUGCAAGCAUGAGGCCCUGGGUUCGAUUCCUCAGCACCA